GAUGGACAACGGGUUGAUAUUCCCGUACCGGCGAAGAACCGCCCCAGUCAAUCCAGUGGUGCUAAGAGUCCUAGCCGGGACAUGCCGGAUCCCUUCGGGGUGAUGGUGGUCUCGUGUGAACGCUCGACCCCAUGCUGGUGCGGCUAGCGUAUUAACAGGUGUGACGCAGGAAGGUAGCCCAAGCCAGGCGAUGGUUGUCCUGGUGCAAGUGCGUAGCCCGACUCCUAGGCAAAUCCGGGAGUCAUCAAGGGUGAGACACGAUGCGGAUGAAAAGUGGGUGAUCCUAUGCUGCCGAGAAAAGCAUCGACGCGAGGUUCAAGCCGCCCGUACCCCAAACCGACUCAGGUGGUCAGGUAGAGAAUACCAAGGAGAUCGAGAGAAUCGUGGUUAAGGAACUCGGCAAAAUACCCCCGUAACUUCGGGAGAAGGGGGGCCAUCCACUUAUACCCACAUGCUGGGAAAAGGGUGUGGUGGCCGCAGAGACCAGUGGGUAGCGACUGUUUACUAAAAACACAGGUCCGUGCCAAGUCGCAAGACGAUGUAUACGGACUGACGCCUGCCCGGUGCUGGAAGGUUAAGAGGAGCGGUUAGCCGUGAGGCGAAGCUGCGAAUUUAAGCCCCAGUAAACGGCGGUGGUAACUAUAACCAUCCUAAGGUAGCGAAAUUCCUUGUCGGGUAAGUUCCGACCUGCACGAAUGGCGUAACGACUUCCCAACUGUCUCAACCGCGAACUCGGCGAAAUUGCAUUACGAGUAAAGAUGCUCGUUACGCGCAGCAGGACGGAAAGACCCCGUGACCUUUACUACAGCUUGGUAUUGGUAUUCGGUGUGGCUUGUGUAGGAUAGGUGGGAGACUGUGAAGCCCGGACGCCAGUUCGGGUGGAGUCAUUGUUGAAAUACCACUCUGGUCACUCUGGAUGCCUAACUUCGGACCGUGAUCCGGUUCAGGGACAGUGCCUGGUGGGUAGUUUAACUGGGGCGGUUGCCUCCCAAAGAGUAACGGAGGCGCCCAAAGGUUCCCUCAACCUGGUUGGCAAUCAGGUGUCGAGUGUAAGUGCACAAGGGAGCUUGACUGUGAGACUGACAGGUCGAGCAGGGACGAAAGUCGGGACUAGUGAUCCGGCAGUGGCUUGUGGAAGCGCUGUCGCUCAACGGAUAAAAGGUACCUCGGGGAUAACAGGCUGAUCUUGCCCAAGAGUCCAUAUCGACGGCAUGGUUUGGCACCUCGAUGUCGGCUCGUCGCAUCCUGGGGCUGGAGUAGGUCCCAAGGGUUGGGCUGUUCGCCCAUUAAAGCGGUACGCGAGCUGGGUUUAGAACGUCGUGAGACAGUUCGGUCCCUAUCCGCUGCGCGCGUAGGAAGUUUGAGAGGAUCUGACCCUAGUACGAGAGGACCGGGUUGGACGAACCUCUGGUGUGUCAGUUGUUCCGCCAGGAGCACCGCUGAUUAGCUACGUUCGGGAUGGAUAACCGCUGAAAGCAUCUAAGCGGGAAGCCGGCCUCGAGAUGAGACUUCCAUGGGCUACGGCCCGAGAGGCUCCCAGCUAGACUACUGGGUUGAUAGGCCGGAUGUGGAAGCGCAGCAAUGCGUGGAGCUGACCGGUACUAAUAAGCCGAUGACUUGAUAAC
rnacentral:rRNA from 1 species